UACGUAGGGACCGAGCGUUGUCCGGAUUCAUUGGGCGUAAAGAGCUCGUAGGCGGCUGUUCAAGUCGAACGUGAAAACUCGGAGCUCAACUCCGAGCCUGCGUUCGAUACUGGACGGCUAGAGUCUGGUAGGGGGAUCUGGAAUUCCUGGUGUAGCGGUGGAAUGCGCAGAUAUCAGGAGGAACACCCGGUGGCGAAGGCGGGAUCCUGGGCCAGUACUGACGCUGAGGAGCGAAAGCGUGGGGAGCAAACAGG
rnacentral:rRNA from 1 species